rnacentral:rRNA from 1 species
GACGAACGCUGGCGGCGUGCUUAACACAUGCAAGUCGAGCGGUAAGGCCCUUUCGGGGGUACACGAGCGGCGAACGGGUGAGUAACACGUGGGUGACCUGCCCUCAGCUCUGGGAUAAGCCUGGGAAACCGGGUCUAAUACCGGAUAUGACUCCAUGACGCAUGUUGUGGGGUGGAAAGCCUUGUGCGGCUGAGGAUGGGCCCGCGGCCUAUCAGCUUGUUGGUGGGGGAUGGCCUACCAAGGCGACGACGGGUAGCCGGCCUGAGAGGGCGACCGGCCACACUGGGACUGAGACACGGCCCAGACUCCUACGGGAGGCAGCAGUGGGGAAUCUUGCGCAAUGGGCGAAAGCCUGACGCAGCGACGCCGCGUGAGGGAUGACGGCCUGGUGUAA